GUAAGCGUGCGCAGGCGGUUUGUAAGACUGUCGUGAAAUCCCCGGGCUCAACCUGGGAAUGGCGAUGGUGACUGCAAGGCUAGAGUUUGGCAGAGGGGGGUAGAAUUCCACGUGUAGCAGUGAAAUGCGUAGAUAUGUGGAGGAACACCGAUGGCGAAGGCAGCCCCCUGGGUCAAAACUGACGCUCAUGCACGAAAGCGUGGGGAGCAAACAGGAUUAGAUACCCCUGU
rnacentral:rRNA from 1 species